rnacentral:rRNA from 1 species
AUUGAACGCUGGCGGCAGGCCUAACACAUGCAAGUCGAACGGUAACAGGAAGAAGCUUGCUUCUUUGCUGACGAGUGGCGGACGGGUGAGUAAUGUCUGGGAAACUGCCUGAUGGAGGGGGAUAACUACUGGAAACGGUAGCUAAUACCGCAUAACGUCGCAAGACCAAAGAGGGGGACCUUCGGGCCUCUUGCCAUCGGAUGUGCCCAGAUGGGAUUAGCUAGUAGGUGGGGUAACGGCUCACCUAGGCGACGAUCCCUAGCUGGUCUGAGAGGAUGACCAGCCACACUGGAACUGAGACACGGUCCAGACUCCUACGGGAGGCAGCAGUGGGGAAUAUUGCACAAUGGGCGCUAGCCUGAUGCAGCCAUGCCGCGUGUAUGAAGAAGGCCUUCGGGUUGUAAAGUACUUUCAGCGGGGAGGAAGGGAGUAAAGUUAAUACCUUUGCUCAUUGACGUUACCCGCAGAAGAAGCACCGGCUAACUCCGUG